AUUGAACGCUGGCGGCAGGCCUAACACAUGCAAGUCGAGCGGAUGAAGGGAGCUGGCUCCUGGAUUUAGCGGCGGACGGGUAAGUAAUGCCUAGGAAACUGCCUGGUAGUGGGGGAUAACGUCCGGAAACGGGCGCUAAUACCGCAUACGCCCUGAGGGAGAAAGUGGGGGAUAUUCGGACCUCACGCUAUCAGAUGAGCCUAGGUCGGAUUAGCUAGUUGGUGGGGUAAAGGCCUACCAAGGCGACGAUGCGUAACUGGUCUGAGAGGAUGAUCAGUCACACUGGAACUGAGACACGGUCCAGACUCCUACGGGAGGCAGCAGUGGGGAAUAUUGGACAAUGGGCGAAAGCCUGAUCCAGCCAUGCCGCGUGUGUGAAGAAGGUCUUCGGAUUGUAAAGCACUUUAAGUUGGGAGGAAGGGCAGUAAGUUAAUACCUUGCUGUUUUGACGGUACCAACAGAAUAAGCACCGGCUAACUUCGUG
rnacentral:rRNA from 1 species